rnacentral:tRNA from 1 species
AAGGUUUUAGCUUAAUUAAAGUGUCUGUUUUGCAUAUAGAAGAUGUGGAUUAAUGUUCCGCAGGCCUUA